UUAUAUAUGGGCACCUGGACGCCAUCUCGGCCUUUCGUGGAUGGAAGUCGGCUCCUGGAAUGGUGCUAGGUACGAGUACAAUGUGGCUUUUCUUUGGCGACUGAUGGACAGUUCUGUGCCAAAGGCGUGAGAAUGGCUGCCGCUGGGAUCCUAAAGUCCAAGAUUCACACUCUAGCCAUGGGAAGACAGGCACUAAAAAGAACUAACUGGAAGUUGGAAUGGUGGACUUGAGUCUCUGACAUGUCUGAAUUGGCUUUAUUAUUUUUGCUGUUGAAUGCACAUUUAUAUCUGGAUGGCAUGCUUGAGACCCGGAUUUCGGAGACAUUUAAAAUAAAGGUGUGAAGAGUGGGGUUGACUACAUAUCCUGGAGUCAAGAGUUUUAAGUAAAGACAGGCAGACAAGACCUGCUACCCUGAAGAUGUCCAGGCGUUGAUUGCGGCCGUCAUGCAGCUGGCCGACCACUGGAAGGCAGCUGGAUGGAUGCUCAUGAGGUAGAAGAUCAAGCCAUUUUGAAUUUUAAUAAAUUUUUUAUAAGCCAUCGGAUCAAGUCUUCUUAUUUCUACUUAAUGGGAUGAAGGAAGGAAAAUAGGACAUGGGUGUACAUGAGCCCCCCUGGCAGUAGAUAGCCAGUUGGCAUUUUCAUUUGUAUUUCAUAGGAUGUCUUAGGCUUGCAAGUGCAGUUUAUACUGAGGAAUAAACAGUCCUCCCCUUGGUGGUCCCCUUUAGCAUCCAAACCGGGCAAGUGAACCAUCAAUCAAAACACGAGCUUAUGCAGAUAAAGAAAAGCAGGUGCUCUUAAUGUCAACUAGUGGUGGGAAAACUUCCAUUUGCUGUAAACACCAUGGUGGUGUUGGGUCUUUGGCCAAAAUUGACAUGUGAAGGGGAGUGACUGGUUAUCUUAGGGAUGGGUCUUGCCCCCAAAAGAUGCAUAUUAAAAGGAAAGAAAAUGUAAAACUAGCAAUGGGGCAUGUUUACAAUUUUGAGGUCAUUGGUACAGUAGUUACAAUGUCCUUGUCUUUAGAAGAUCAGUUUAGAAAUGCUGAUUUAGCAAAUAACAAUUCUGGAGGCAUGUACUCAGAU